AAAUGGACUUUAUUUACUGUUACAAUUCAUAUAUUUACUAUUACAAUUCAUCUUCUGACAUUAUAUGAUUUCCAUCUGAUUGAAUAGAUUGUGAAGUAAUGUCUCCUUUUGUAACCUGCUUAAACAAUCUUUCCAAGGCAAUCACUACAUCCACCAUUAAAGUAAGAUGUGUCUGUAGGUAUGAAGGGGUUCCAGAGGAUAAAAAUGAUAACAGCCUAGAGUGUGUUUUGCAUGAUAAUGUGGGGACAAGAAUCCAAGCAUCAUUCAGUCCAUGUUUAUGUUAUCUCCUGUAAAUUCUCAGCUACAUGAUUAUGCAGUUAUCUAAGUUGAAUUUGUCAUUAAGUCCAUGUUUAUGUUAUCCUAAUUUCACAAUGUUUACUAAUAGUGCUAAAUAUUUUGCAUAUGUAAAAACUCAUUUUACAAUGUAGUUUUCUUACCUUGAAUCUGCCAUUGCCUCCAUGCUCAUGUCAUCUUUUUUCAAGUCAUGCUUCCUUUGAUUGAUA